GGUUGCGAUCAUACUAGCACUAAUGUACUGAAGCUCUUCUGAACUCUGCAGUUAAGCGUGCUUUGGCGAGAGUGGUACUAGGAUAGGUGACCCCCUGAGAAGUCCUCGUGUUGCAACCCU
rnacentral:rRNA from 1 species